GGCCGCGGGAUUGUGCCAGCAGCCGCGGUAAUACAGAGGGUGCAGGCGUUAAUCGGAAUUACUGGGCGUAAAGCGAGCGUAGGUGGCUUGAUAAGUCAGAUGUGAAAGCCCCGGGCUUAACCUGGGAACGGCAUCUGAUACUGUUAGGCUAGAGUAGGUGAGAGGAAGGUAGAAUUCCAGGUGUAGCGGUGAAAUGCGUAGAGAUCUGGAGGAAUACCGAUGGCGAAGGCAGCCUUCUGGCAUCAUACUGACACUGAGGUUCGAAAGCGUGGGUAGCAAACAGGAUUAGAUACCCUGGUAGUCCACGCCGUAAACGAUGUCUACUAGUCGUUGGGUCCCUUGAGGACUUAGUGACGCAGCUAACGCAAUAAGUAGACCGCCUGGGGAGUACGGCCGCAAGGUUAAAACUCAAAUGAAUUGACGGGGGCCCGCACAAGCGGUGGAGCAUGUGGUUUAAUUCGAUGCAACGCGAAGAACCUUACCUGGUCUUGACAUAUCUAGAAUCCUGCAGAGAUGCGGGAGUGCCUUCGGGAAUUAGAAUACAGGUGCUGCAUGGCUGUCGUCAGCUCGUGUCGUGAGAUGUUGGGUUAAGUCCCGCAACGAGCGCAACCCUUGUCCUUAGUUACCAGCGGUUUGGCCGGGAACUCUAAGGAUACUGCCAGUGACAAACUGGAGGAAGGCGGGGACGACGUCAAGUCAUCAUGGCCCUUACGACCAGGGCUACACACGUGCUACAAUGGUAGGUACAGAGGGCAGCUACACAGCGAUGUGAUGCGAAUCUCAAAAAGCCUAUCGUAGUCCAGAUUGGAGUCUGCAACUCGACUCCAUGAAGUAGGAAUCGCUAGUAAUCGCGGAUCAGAAUGCCGCGGUGAAUACGUUCCCGGGCCUUGUACACACCGCCCGUCACACCAUGGGAGUUGAUUGCACCAGAAGUGGUUAGCCUAACCUUUUAGGAAGGCGAUCACCACGGUGUGGUUGAUGACUGGGGUGAAGUCG
rnacentral:rRNA from 1 species